GACGAACGCUGGCGGCGUGCCUAAUACAUGCAAGUAGAACGCUGAAGGAGGAGCUUGCUUCUCUGGAUGAGUUGCGAACGGGUGAGUAACGCGUAGGUAACCUGCCUGGUAGCGGGGGAUAACUAUUGGAAACGAUAGCUAAUACCGCAUAAGAGUAGAUGUUGCAUGACAUUUGCUUAAAAGGUGCAAUUGCAUCACUACCAGAUGGACCUGCGUUGUAUUAGCUAGUUGGUGGGGUAACGGCUCACCAAGGCGACGAUACAUAGCCGACCUGAGAGGGUGAUCGGCCACACUGGGACUGAGACACGGCCCAGACUCCUACGGGAGGCAGCAGUAGGGAAUCUUCGGCAAUGGACGGAAGUCUGACCGAGCAACGCCGCGUGAGUGAAGAAGGUUUUCGGAUCGUAAAGCUCUGUUGUAAGAGAAGAACGAGUGUGAGAGUGGAAAGUUCACACUGUGACGGUAUCUUACCAGAAAGGGACGGCUAACUACGUGCCAGCAGCCGCGGUAAUACGUAGGUGGCAAGCGUUAUCCGGAUUUAUUGGGCGUAAAGAGAGUGCAGGCGGUUCUCUAAGUCUGAUGUGAAAGCCUUCGGCUUAACCGGAGAAGUGCAUCGGAAACUGGAUAACUUGAGUGCAGAAGAGGGUAGUGGAACUCCAUGUGUAGCGGUGGAAUGCGUAGAUAUAUGGAAGAACACCAGUGGCGAAGGCGGCUACCUGGUCUGCAACUGACGCUGAGACUCGAAAGCAUGGGUAGCGAACAGG
rnacentral:rRNA from 1 species